AUUGAACGCUGGCGGCAUGCUUUACACAUGCAAGUCGAACGGUAACAGGCCACAAGGUGCUGACGAGUGGCGAACGGGUGAGUAAUGCAUCGGAACGUGCCCAGUCGUGGGGGAUAACGCAGCGAAAGCUGUGCUAAUACCGCAUACGAUCUAUGGAUGAAAGCGGGGGACCGUAAGGCCUCGCGCGAUUGGAGCGGCCGAUGUCAGAUUAGCUAGUUGGUGGGGUAAAGGCCCACCAAGGCGACGAUCCGUAGCUGGACUGAGAGGAAGACCAGCCACACUGGGACUGAGACACGGCCCAGACUCCUACGGGAGGCAGGAGGGGGGAAUUUUGGACAAUGGGCGCAAGCCUGAUCCAGCAAUGCCGCGUGCAGGAAGAAGGCCUUCGGGUUGUAAACUGCUUUUGUACGGAACGAAACGGUCUGGGUUAAUACCCUGGGCUAAUGACGGUACCGUAAGAAUAAGCACCGGCUAACUACGUGCCAGCCGCCGCAGUAA
rnacentral:rRNA from 1 species